UGAUAUUCAACAACACAUCACCUGUUCAAAUGACAAGACAAAAAAAGAAAAAAGAGAAUGAGCUGCGCUACUAAGUGAUUAUCUCCCUGUAAAUUCUUCUACUGGCAACCUGCUCGAUUGCGAAGUAUAAACUUGUCCAUCACUGUCUUCAUUUUGCUUUUUCAGUCAGACAACCAACUGUUGCAUUUAAAUGAGCAACCCAAGAUAAAGCCCACUUUCAAGGAAGACUAAAUAGAAAUUUUUUUUCUGGAAGAUCUAACAUUUCUCAUCAAUCACCUGGCAGAGGGGACCUUCUUCACUAAGAAACCAUCUCUAUUGUCUGAAGAACUGAGACAACAGAGUCACUCUCCAAGACAGCAAAACAUGCACAUUUCACUUCCUCAACACCUAUGUUCACCUUCUCCAACAGAAUAACAGCCUUCAUUUAAAUUUUA